rnacentral:sRNA from 1 species
AAGAAGAAACGCUAGAGAGUCGGAUGGCUGAGGAAGAGAAACCUGCUGCUCUUCCUGAGAAAGAGUGUGGGGCUGCUAAGUCCUCAGACCAACCCAAGGGCCUCAGUAAGGGCCAAAUGGAGUCUAGUGCGGAGGCCCAAAUAGUUCCCAAAGAGAGUGCCCCGGCAGGGGCCCCACAUGAGAAAAGUGUAAAAGAGGUCAAGGAGGUGUCUCCAGAAGUAAAAACCCCUUCCUCUGCUGGGGAAGAUUUACUUACAGCCUCGAAGAUGGAGUUCCAUGAUCAACAGGAAUCGACUCCCUCUGCAGCUGAGCCUUCAGACCAGAAGGAAAAGGAGUCAGAGAAGCAAAGUAAGCCUGGUGAAGACCUUAAACAUGCUGCCUUAGUUUCUCAGCCAGAGACAACUACAACUUACC